CAUGUAGGUGGGCUGUUAAGUCUGUUGUGAAAAUGCGGGGCUCAACCCCGUAUUGCGAUGGAAACUGACAGUCUUGAGUGCAGGAGAGGAAAGGGGAAUUCCCAGUGUAGCGGUGAAAUGCGUAGAUAUUGGGAGGAACACCAGUGGCGAAGGCGCCUUUCUGGACUGUGUCUGACACUGAGAUGCGAAAGCUAGGGGAGCGAACG
rnacentral:rRNA from 1 species